GACGAACGCUGGCGGCGUGCUUAACACAUGCAAGUCGAACGCUGAAGCUUGGUGCUUGCACUGGGUGGAUGAGUGGCGAACGGGUGAGUAAUACGUGAGUAACCUGCCCUUGACUCUGGGAUAAGCCUGGGAAACUGGGUCUAAUACUGGAUACGACAUGCCACUGCAUGGUGGUGUGUGGAAAGGGUUUUACUGGUUUUGGAUGGGCUCACGGCCUAUCAGCUUGUUGGUGGGGUAAUGGCCUACCAAGGCGACGACGGGUAGCCGGCCUGAGAGGGUGACCGGCCACACUGGGACUGAGACACGGCCCAGACUCCUACGGGAGGCAGCAGUGGGGAAUAUUGCACAAUGGGCGGAAGCCUGAUGCAGUGACGCCGCGUGAGGGAUGACGGCCUUCGGGUUGUAAACCUCUUUCAGCACGGAAGAAGCGAGAGUGACGGUACGUGCAGAAGAAGCGCCGGCUAACUACGUG
rnacentral:rRNA from 1 species